rnacentral:tRNA from 1 species
AUUUAUAUAGUUUAACAAAACAUUACAUUUUCAUUGUAAAAAUAAUAAUUCAUUUUAUUUAUAAAUU